GUACGGGAGGCAGCAGUCGAGAAUUUUUCACAAUGGGCGCAAGCCUGAUGGAGCGACGCCGCGUGGGGGAUGAAUGGCUUCGGCCCGUAAACCCCUGUCAUUUGCGAUCAAACCUUAUUAUUUAAAAGAUGAUAAGUUGAUAGUAGCGAAAGAGGAAGGGACGGCUAACUCUGUGCCAGCAGCCGCGGUAAUACAGAGGUCCCAAGCGUUGUUCGGAUUCACUGGGCGUAAAGGGUGCGUAGGUGGUGGGGUAAGUCGGAUGUGAAAGCUCGGAGCUCAACUCCGAAAUGGCAUUGGAAACUACCCUGCUAGAGGAUUGGAGGGGGGACUGGAAUACUUGGUGUAGCAGUGAAAUGCGUAGAUAUCAAGUGGAACACCAGUGGCGAAGGCGAGUCCCUGGACAAUACCUGACACUGAGGCACGAAAGCUAGGGGAGCAAACAGGAUUAGAUACCCCGGUAGUCC
rnacentral:rRNA from 1 species